UACGGGGGGGGCAAGCGUUGUUCGGAAUUACUGGGCGUAAAGGGCUCGUAGGCGGCCAACUAAGUCAGACGUGAAAUCCCUCGGCUUAACCGGGGAACUGCAUCUGAUACUGGAUGGCUUGAGUUCGGGAGAGGGAUGCGGAAUUCCAGGUGUAGCGGUGAAAUGCGUAGAUAUCGGAGGAACACCGGUGGCGAAGGCGGCAUCCGUGGGACCGACACUGACGCUGAGGAGCGAAAGCCAGGGGAGCAAAGCGGG
rnacentral:rRNA from 1 species